rnacentral:rRNA from 1 species
GACGAACGCUGGCGGCGUGCCUAAUACAUGCAAGUCGAGCGAGUCCCUUCGGGGGCUAGCGGCGGACGGGUGAGUAACACGUAGGCAACCUGCCUCUCAGACCGGGAUAACAUAGGGAAACUUACGCUAAUACCGGAUAGGUUUUUGGAUCGCAUGAUUCGAAAAGAAAAGAUGGCUUUUUGCUAUCACUGGGAGAUGGGCCUGCGGCGCAUUAGCUAGUUGGUGGGGUAACGGCCUACCAAGGCGACGAUGCGUAGCCGACCCGAGAGGGUGACCGGCCACACUUGGACAGAGACACGGCCCAGACUCCUACGGUAGGCAUCAGUAGGGAAUUUUCCGCAAUGGACGAAAGUCUGAUGGGGCAACGCCGCGUGAACGAUGAAGGUCUUCGGAUUGUAAAGUUCUGUUGUCAGGGACGAACACUUACCGUUCGAACAGGGCGGUACCUUGACGGUACCUGACGAGAAAGCCACGGCUAACUACGUGCCAGCCGCCGCUGUAACAC